rnacentral:lncRNA from 8 species
AUGUGCCUGUCAUGUGGCUGUUCUCUCUGUCAUGUGCCUGUUCUGUCUGUCAUGUGCCUGUCAUGUGGCUGUUCUGUCUGUCAUGUUCCUGUUCUGCCUGUCAUGUGCCUGUUCUGUCUGUCAUGUGCCUGUCAUGUGGCUGUUCUGUCUGUCAUGUUCCUGUUCUGCCUGUCAUGUGGCUGUUCUGUCAGUCAUGUGGCUGUUCUGUCUGUCAUGUGCCUGUUCUGUCUGUCAUGUGGCUGUUCUGUCUGUCAUGUUCCUGUUCUGCCUGUCAUGUGCCUGUUCUGUCUGUCAUGUGCCUGUCAUGUGGCUGUUCUGUCUGUCAUGUUCCUGUUCUGCCUGUCAUGUGGCUGUUCUGUCAGUCAUGUGGCUGUUAUGUCUGUCAUGUUCCUGUUCUGUAUGUCAUGUGCCUGUUCUGUCUGUCAUGUGUCUGUUCUGUCUGUCAUGUGCCUGUUCUGUCUGUCAUGUGGCUGUUCUGUCUGUCAUGUUCCUGUUCUGUCUGUCAUGUGGCUGUUCUGCCUGUCAUGUGCCUGUUCUGUCUGUCAUGUGGCUGUUCUGUCAUGUGGCUGUUCUGUCUGUCAUGUUCCUGUUCUGUCUGUCAUGUUCCUGUUCUGUCUGUCAUGUUCCUGUUCUGUCUGUCAUGUUCCGUCAUGUGCCUGUUCUGUAUGUCAUGUUCCUGUUCUGUCUGUCAUGUUCCUGUUCUGUCUGUCAUGUGCCUGUUCUGUCUGUCAUGUGGCUGUUCUGUCUGUCAUGUUCCUGUUCUGUCUGUCAUGUGGCUGUUCUGCCAGUCAUGUGGCUGUUCUGUCUGUCAUGUGGCUGUUCUGCCUGUCAUAUGCCUGUCAUGUGGCUGUUCUGUCAUGUGGCUGUUCUGUCUGUCAUGUUCCUGUUCUGCCUGUCAUGUGGCUGUUCUGUCAUGUUCCUGUUCUGUCUGUCAUGUGGCUGUUCCGUCAUGUGGCUGUUCUGUCUGUCAUGUUCCUGUUCUGUAGGUCAUGUUCCUGUUCUGCUUCUUUCUUCCAUGUUGCUCCUCUGUGUUUGUUUGAGAUCAUUGACAGUAUGCUGCUGCUAAGAUAUAUUUUAGUUUUUGUCCAGUAA